GGUGGCAAAGGAGAAUAAAACCACUCUACCUUCAGCGGGUCUUUUCAUCAUCAGAUACCACUCAUUCUAUGCAUUACAUAAAUCAGGGGCAUACAAGCACUUAAUGAAUGAGGAGGAUGUUGAGAAUCUGAAAUGGCUUGAAAUUUUCAACAAGUAUGAUCUUUACAGCAAGAGCAAAGUUCUAAUUGCUGUGGAAAAGGUUAAACCAUACUAUAUUUCCCUCAUUGAAAAGUACUUCCCUGCCAAGCUAAAAUGGUGAAACUGAGGGGAUUUGAAGCUUGACGAGUCAAGAUAUGCAUCAGAUUGCUUACCUAUCUGUUAUAUUAUAUAUACAGCUAGUUGUUGAGAGU